CUAACUACGUGCCAGCAGCCGCGGUAAUACGUAGGGGGCCAGCGUUGCUCGGAAUUACUGGGCGUAAAGGGUCCGUAGGCGGUGUGGCAAGUCGGGAGUGAAAUCUAUGGGCUUAACCCAGAGGCUGCUUCCGAAACUGCCAUGCUAGAGUGUGAGAGAGGCGAGUGGAAUUACGGGUGUAGCGGUGAAAUGCGUAGAUAUCCGUAGGAACAUCCGAGGCGAAGGCGGCUCGCUGGAUCACAACUGACGCUGAGGGACGAAAGCUAGGGGAGCAAACAGGAUUAGAUACNNUGGUAGUCCUAGCCCUAAACCAUCAUGACUUGGGGUUUGCCCUGUACGGGGCAAGUCCCGUAGCUAACGCG
rnacentral:rRNA from 1 species